AGAAUCUGCCUUCAACUCUGGGAUAACUCCGGGAAACCGGGGCUAAUACCGGAUAUGAGCCUUGAACGCAUGAUCGGGGCUGGAAAGUUUUUCGGUUGAAGAUGACUUCGCGGCCUAUCAGCUUGUUGGUGAGGUAAUGGCUCACCAAGGCGACGACGGGUAGCCGGCCUGAGAGGGCGACCGGCCACACUGGGACUGAGACACGGCCCAGACUCCUACGGGAGGCAGCAGUGGGGAAUAUUGGGCAAUGGAGGAAACUCUGACCCAGCGACGCCGCGUGAGGGAUGAAGGCCUUCGGGUUGUAAACCUCUUUCAGUAGGGAAGAAGCGAAAGUGACGGUACCUACAGAAGAAGCACCGGCUAACUAUGUGCCAGCAGCCGCGGUAAUACAUAGGGUGCAAGCGUUGUCCGGAAUUAUUGGGCGUAAAGAGCUCGUAGGUGGUUCGAUACGUCGGAUGUGAAAAUCAGGGGCUCAACCCCUGACCUGCAUCCGAUACGGUCGAGCUAGAGUUUGGUAGGGGAGACUGGAAUUCCUGGUGUAGCGGUGGAAUGCGCAGAUAUCAGGAGGAACACCGAUGGCGAAGGCAGGUCUCUGGGCCAAUACUGACACUGAGGAGCGAAAGCGUGGGGAGCGAACAGGAUUAGAUACCCUGGUAGUCCACGCCGUAAACGGUGGGCGCUAGUUGUGCGAACCUUCCACGGUUUGUGCGACGCAGCUAACGCAUUAAGCGCCCCGCCUGGGGAGUACGAUCGCAAGAUUAAAACUCAAAGGAAUUGACGGGGCCCCGCACAAGCAGCGGAGCAUGCGGCUUAAUUCGACGCAACGCGAAGAACCUUACCAAGGCUUGACAUAUACAGGAAUAUGGCAGAGAUGUCAUAG
rnacentral:rRNA from 1 species